rnacentral:rRNA from 1 species
CCUACGGGAGGCAGCAGUGAGGAAUAUUGGUCAAUGGCCGGAAGGCUGAACCAGCCAAGCCGCGUGAAGGACGAAGGUGCCAAGCAUUGUAAACUUCUUUUGUCAGGGACAAAAUCAGGCUCGAGAGCCUGACCGAGGGUACUUGAAGAAAAAGCAUCGGCUAACUCCGUGCCAGCAGCCGCGGUAAUACGGAGGAUGCGAGCGUUAUCCGGAUUUAUGGGGGUUAAAGGGGGCGUAGGCGGAAUGCCAAGUCAGCGGUAAAAUCGCGGGGCUCAACCUCGCUCCGCCGUUGAAACUGGCGUUCUUGAGUGGGCGAGAAGUAUGCGGAAUGCGUGGUGUAGCGGUGAAAUGCAUAGAUAUCGAGAGGAACACUCGUGGCGAAGGCGGGUUCCUGGACAUUAACUGACGCUGAGGCACGAAGGCCAGGGGAGCGAAAGGGAUUAGAUACCCUUGUAGUC